GAAGCAAGCACAGUAAACUAUUAAUUUUUAUACCUUGAAUUAUAUUCCAAGGAUCAUUUAACUUCUAAUAUAAGUUUGACAAAUUACCAGAAAUGUGAAUUACACCGGCAGAUAAAGACGAGUAUGAAACGAAUGUAAAUUUUAGGAAGCUUAUUAUAUUAUAUUGAUAAAGUAUCACAUUGUUAAUUAGAUAUUGAUAAUCGGAUAGUCAUAAAAAGCGUAUCGACAUUCGCAUAGUGGAUAAAUAAUUACAAAUAACAGGACUAAGGUAUGUGAUAUUGAGAUGAUCUAUUUCGACAACUCGAAUAAGUUAAGGAGUAAGCAAAUAAAAUCUACGAAAGAAUAACAGACGUCAAUAACAUUAGAGGACAAAAAUUAUCAAUACAAGGUUUUAGGUAUAUGAGAAAUUAACGACUGAGCUAUUGAAAUAACCUAUUCAGAGAUAACGAAAGUAUGAACGAACGAAGAGAACAAUUCAGAGAAGAAGGAAGUAUUCGGAAACGAACGAAGAUAAACGUACGGUAAUAAGCAUGCCUGAAACAUACGUAUAUAUUAUUUGUAGGAAAGCAGAAUAAGUAAAAGAAAUGGUACAAUUAUUAUAUUGAACGUUAAAAAAUUGCAUUGUAAAAUGUUGUACUGAAGGUCUGAUAGUCAUAAAAAAGCACUGAUAUUCCAAAUUUGUCGAUUAAAUUAUUACGAAUAAUGAAGAAGAAAUGAGGUAGUGAAGAAACGUUCAAAUAACUGUCGGAAACACCAAAAGAAAUAAAAUAAGGAAAUCAAAUUUACGAACGAUGGAUAUGGAGAGUACUAGGGAGCAAGGAUAGAGAAUACUAUACAAUAGAUCAAUAAUAGAAGACAACAGUACUGAGGGCAAAAAGAAAUGUCCGAAUGUAGGAGAAGUGAGUACGAAAGGAAUAUGACGCGAAAACCAUAUAUUAUCAACCGUAUUGUGUAUUUCAUCCCGAACAGCAUCGAUAAUUGGCAUGGAAUAAUACAGCAACUGAUUGAAACCCGCAUAAUCGAACAAAAUGCUUCUGAAUUCUCCAGUACCGUGGUAUUGGUCAUAAUAAGUAGGAUUGCUCAUGAACUAUCCAUGAUAUAAUAGUUUAGCGUUUAUAAUCUAUAGCGUACGUAGAGAAAUAAGUCGAUAGAACGUGAGAUAUGAAGUAUGGUGCUAUAUUAUGCUCAAGUAGCGGAUAUUAUCAAGUAGCAAUGGCUAAAUGCUGUUAGCAUGUUAGCAUAACAGAUAUACGUUUACUAGAAUGUAAUACGAGCUUUAGAAUAUUGCUGUUGAGUUCGAGUGCUGAUGUAGUUUCAAAUAAGUCCGAAUUCCGAAGAUAAUAGAGAAGAAAUGUAUUUCAUUUUAUAAAUAGUCCGGUGGUUUCUCAGGACGAUAUAACGUCCCGUAUAAUUUGAUGAGAAACGGAAUCAUAAUUGAUAUAUAUUUCUUCGAAAAAUGCAAGUACAAAAAUGUUUAUUUAAUCAAUAUUUGUUCGUUAAUUGUUUGUAAAACAGUUGCGUUGCAAAUCUUCAAAACUUCUAAGCAACAAUGGUGCGAACAAACGAACAAUUUCUGAAUCUCAGAACAUAACUGAAGAAUGGAUACAAAAAAAGAUGUAAGAAAUUUACAAUAUAUACAUUUAAAUUAUAUCGUGUAACUAAAUGGCGUUGGAAUCUAUGAGUUCCUGAAGAUUCUCGUUACUAAAUAGUGGUCCAAAUGUAUAUACAAGGAUUUAUGUUACAUUGAAGUAGAUAAUACGUUUGUAGCAGCGAAGAAGAUACAUAAUUUUAUGUGGAUAAAAUAUUUUGUUUUAAACUAUAUAAACCGACGUAUAAAUUGCUCUUUUAUAUAACUCCAGCGGGCAAAUAUUCACCGUUUUUACAUUCUCGAAAUAAACCUGAUUAGACUUCUACUGCCAUACACUAAAAUUAUUUGAGGCAAUUAUUUUAUCGCAACAGAUGGUGAAAAUUUGAUAUAUAAUUGUCCUAAUGUGAAUAAAUGACGUAGGGAAAAUGUUUAAUGCAUGGAAUAUCAUUUAACAUUCUGCUGCUUCUUUUUACGGAAUGAUAUUGUUUUUGUCUAGAGAUUUGGACAUAUUGUACUGCAAGCAUUAUUCAUAAAUUUGAAAUAAAUUUUACCGUUAGUAA